rnacentral:ncRNA from 1 species
AGCCUGCGGGAGAGAUCGGUUCGCCGGCGCCGAAGGAGCAACCGCCCCGGAAACUCUCAGGCAAAAGGACCGCAGGCG